GGAGAGGUGGCCGAGCGGCUGAUGGCGCUGGUCUUGAAAACCAGUAUGGACUUUCAGUCCAUCGGGGGUUCAAAUCCCUCCCUCUCCG
rnacentral:tRNA from 1 species